AUAAGUAUUUCUACAACACAGAUGAAGAUCUAUCUAGUGAUACAAGAGUCAACAUAGAAUUUUUACACUCCGUCCCACACCAUCUUCGUAAAAGACAAGCGUUGCCGCAGGAUCUAUAUGGAUUUAGAAACAAAACGACAACAGAACCUCCUACCCAGUCCCCAUCAGUACCACCAGUAAUUAUUCCUAUUUCUCCUGCAUCAAUAGACAAAAAUGACACCCUAAAGAAAACUACCACAGAGAAAUCAAACUUGACUGUCGAAAAAUUGCUAGGUAAGAAUUUAGGUGAAAAUGGCGCUGGCAUACGGAAAAACUACACAAUUGUUACAACUACGCCUACAAGUACUACAACGGCUGCGGUCUUAACAAGUAACACCGAGGAUCAUUUGAUAGUUCCAAAAGUACAAAAGAACGAAACCACUAAUGGAACGACGACCGACGAAUCACUACCUGAAAUUUCAAUUGACAAAUUUGCUAAAGACUCGGAGAUCUUUAACAAAACUUUAUUAGAACACCAAGUGAAUGAGACCAAAACCGAUGCACAUAUCUAUUAUAACAGUACCAUGACGGUUGAUGCCGCAAUUACUGAACAAUAUUGGGUCCACUUUGAAAACAAUAGUGAUGUUAGAGUUAACGAUUUAUUAUCAAAUGCAUAUCGCAGGGCUGCCACCGUGAAGCUAUCGUUUGAUUUUCCGUUUUACGGACAUCUUGUUCGAAAUAUUACUGUAGCUACAGGAGGAUUUAUUUACAUGGGCGAAUAUCUCCACUCGUGGCUAGCGGCGACGCAGUACAUCGCGCCGCUUAUGGCUAACUUUGAUACGGCGGUAUCAAAUCACAGUUUUAUUAAGUAUUUGGAUAAUGGGACCGCUUUCACGGUCGUCUGGGAAGAAGUGCAUUUACAAGAUACUCCCCAGGUGGGUUCCUUUGUAUUCCAGACCACGUUAUUUAAGAACGGGGAUAUAGUAUUUGUUUAUAAAAAUAUUCCCAUUCCCGUGGAGGAAAUUGUUGACGAUAAUCAUCCUGUUAAAGUUGGGCUUUCGGAUGCGUAUCUUAUAGAUCACACCAUAUUCUUUGUGCGAAGGAAAACAAUCUACGAAUAUCAUCGUGUGAACUUUAGCAAGGAGGAUAUUAAAAAUGAUACGACAAUUUAUCUAAAAGCGCUGCCCACCUGUUUGGAUAGUAAAGAUUGCCAUUCUUGUCUGACAACACAAAUUGAUAAUUUUGAGUGCACUUGGUGUCCAUCAAACGGUCGUUGUUCGAACGGCUUAGACAGACAUAAACAAGAGUGGCUCGCAAAGGGAUGCGAUAGAAAACAAGUUGCAAAUGAGUCUCAGUGUUAUCAAGUAGAUACAGUUGAAGGAUUAAAUCACAAUGAUGAACAUAACACUUAUUAUAACACAGAUAAACACAUAGAGGACACAAAGGUACAGAGUAAUGAAAGAGGUCUGCCAAAUAAUCAAAAUAAGAAGAAGGUGAACGAUGAUGACCAUUCUCAAGAAACUUCGUUUAAUACCGUUCAAGCGUCGAGAAUCUCACAAAGCUCGCAACAUAUAGAACCAGAUGGUGACGUUAAAAUGGGCGCGUCGGGUAUCAUAACGAUACUAUUUUUGGUGUCCGUUAUAACAGCAUUGGCUGUAUGGGUGCUGUAUGCAUAUAGAAAUCCUCAUACGACCAGUGGUCAAAUUCUCAUUAGGGUAAGUCAUUUUUAAAUCUUUGUCAGAUGCACUGAUUUAAAUGGUCUUGUUAAAAUGUGCAGCAUUUUCGGAUAUCCAAAUCAAAUUUGGAUAAUUAUCGACCAAGUCAAUGGAGAUGGAAAAGAGGUGAAGCGCGAUAUACUGCAGCAACGAUACAUAUGUGAACAUUUAGCUUACUAAAAAGGACUUUAGAUAGACCAUGGUUGUGUGUGUUUCGUACCAAAAAACGAACUAAAUUUGGCAAAUUAAUAUUGAUUGUACAUUCAUUAUAAACACAGCCUGCCACUUUACUACGAGAUAAAACACCAAAUUGGUUUGCUCAAACAAAUUCGGUUUGAAUCUUUAAUCAGACGAGAUAAUUUUAUUUUAAUAAUAGCAACGGUUUUAUGUUAAUUUACUCUACUGUGAUAAUCACGCUAUAAAUAAUUAAUUUUAAAUCGAAAUAAAAAUUAUAGAGUGUAUCAUAAAGUUUGUUUACUGUUAUCUGUUAGGGUAUUCUAGUAUUAGAGAACUAUGUUGUGAAUCUGUGCAGCUUUGCUCCCUUUUAUUAA